UACGGAGGAUGCAAGCGUUAUCCGGAAUUAUUGGGCGUAAAGCGUCCGCAGGUGGUUUAUCAAGUCUGCUGUCAAAGCGCGAGGCUUAACUUCGUAAAGGCAGUGGAAACUGAUAGACUGGAGUGCGGUAGGGGCAGAGGGAAUUCCCAGUGUAGCGGUGAAAUGCGUAGAUAUUGGGAAGAACACCUAUGGCGAAGGCAGCUCGCUGGGACGUUACUGACGCUGAGACGCGAAAGCGUGGGGAGCAAACAGG
rnacentral:rRNA from 1 species